rfam:Danio rerio chromosome 7, GRCz11 reference primary assembly.
CGAAAAAGCCAUAUCACCCUGCAGCCCAAGACUGAUUACUCACUAAAGCUAAGCAGGGCUGAGCCUGGUCAGUAGCUGGAUGGGAGACCACAUGGGAAAACUAGGUUGCUGUUGGAA